UGGCUCAGAACGAACGCUGGCGGCGCGUUUAAGCAUGCAAGUCGAGCGGCAAGGGCCUUCGGGCCCCUAGAGCGGCGGACGGGUGAGUAACACGUGGACAAUCUGCCCCCCGGCCCGGGAUAGCCCAGGGAAACCUGGAUUAAUACCGGAUGGGACGGGACCCGCGAUGGCGGGAUCCGGGAAAGGCGCUGCGGCGCCGCCGGGGGAUGAGUCUGCGUCCCAUUAGCUAGACGGCGGGGUAACGGCCCACCGUGGCGACGAUGGGUAGCCGGCCUGAGAGGGUGGACGGCUACAUUGGAACUGAGACACGGUCCAGACUCCUACGGGAGGCAGCAGCUAAGAAUCUUCCGCAAUGGGCGAAAGCCUGACGGAAGCGACGCCGCGUGAACGAAGAAGGCCGUGAGGUUGUAAAGUUCUUUUCGGGAGGGGGAACAACCGUGGCAGGGAAUGGCCGCGGGAUGACGUGAAUCCCGGAAUAAGCCCCGGCUAACUACGUGCCAGCCGCGGC
rnacentral:rRNA from 1 species